rnacentral:rRNA from 1 species
GACGAACGCUGGCGGCGUGCCUAAUACAUGCAAGUAGAACGCAAAAGGAGGAGCUUGCUUCUCCGGAUGAGUUGCGAACGGGUGAGUAACGCGUAGGUAACCUGCCUGGUAGCGGGGGAGAACUAUUGGAAACGAUAGCUAAUACCGCAUAAGAGUAGAUGUCGCAUGACAUUUGCUUAAAAGGUGCAACUGCACCACUACCAGAUGGACCUGCGUUGUAUUAGCUAGUUGGUGAGGUAACGGCUCACCAAGGCAACGAUACAUAGCCGACCUGAGAGGGUGAUCGGCCACACUGGGACUGAGACACGGCCCAGACUCCUACGGGAGGCAGCAGUAGGGAAUCUUCGGCAAUGGGCGGAAGUCUGACCGAGCAACGCCGCGUGAGUGAAGAAGGUUUUCGGAUCGUAAAGCUCUGUUGUAAGAGAAGAACGAGUGUGAGAGUGGAAAGUUCACACUGUGACGGUAUCUUACAAGAAAGGAACGGCUAACUACGU